AGUUAAAAAGCUAUAAGAAUAAGCCCAAUGUCUUGAAAACAUUGAGAGAGAAGUUUAAAUCUUCUAUUAACUU
rnacentral:tRNA from 1 species